rnacentral:rRNA from 1 species
GAUGAACGCUGGCGGCGUGCCUAAUACAUGCAAGUCGAGCGAACAGACGAGGAGCUUGCUCCUCUGACGUUAGCGGCGGACGGGUGAGUAACACGUGGAUAACCUACCUAUAAGACUGGGAUAACUUCGGGAAACCGGAGCUAAUACCGGAUAAUAUAUUGAACCGCAUGGUUCAAUAGUGAAAGACGGUUUUGCUGUCACUUAUAGAUGGAUCCGCGCCGCAUUAGCUAGUUGGUAAGGUAACGGCUUACCAAGGCGACGAUGCGUAGCCGACCUGAGAGGGUGAUCGGCCACACUGGAACUGAGACACGGUCCAGACUCCUAUGGGAGGCAGCAGUAGGGAAUCUUCCGCAAUGGGCGAAAGCCUGACGGAGCAACGCCGCGUGAGUGAUGAAGGUCUUCGGAUCGUAAAACUCUGUUAUUAGGGAAGAACAUAUGUGUAAGUAACUGUGCACAUCUUGACGGUACCUAAUCAGAAAGCCACGGCUAACUACGUG